UACGUAGGGUGCUAGCGUUGUUCGGAAUCAUUGGGCGUAAAGCGCGUGUAGGCGGUCAUUUAAGUCUGGUGUGAAAGCCCUGGGCUCAACCGAGGAAGUGCAUCAGAAACUAAAUGACUAGAAGACGGUAGAGGAAGGUGGAAUUCCAGGUGUAGAGGUGAAAUUCGUAGAUAUCUGGAGGAAUACCGGUGGCGAAGGCGGCCUUCUGGGCCGAUCUUGACGCUGAGACGCGAAAGCGUGGGGAGCAAACAGG
rnacentral:rRNA from 1 species